GGAGAGUGCCCUUGCACUGUGAGGAAUUAUUUGGCUGUCAGUGACAGCAAAAACAAUGGGACUGACUUAAGAAAGAGAAUCUGUUGACUCGGGUACCUGAGAAAAUCUAGCAGUAAGGCUGGCGUCAGGCAGGAGGGUUCAAGUUGGGGCUCAGUUGAUGCCAUCAAGGUUCAGUUUGUAUCCGUUUCUUGGCACUAGAUUCUGGACUUUCUGUCAUUUUGUACCUUUACGUGUACUUUUCAAGCACUAAGUAGAGCUGAAAAUGGGUGUCUCUCUCAUAGUCCCUGCAAAAUCCCAUUGUGCCUUACUGUCUCCAGCUGGGUCACGUGCCGUCCCCGACCAGUCACUGCUGCCAAAAAGCAUAAAACCAUCUUUUGGCCAAGCCUUGAGUUAUACACCCAUCUUAAAAUAAGACUGUCUGGGAACGACAACUCCAUCUUUACAUGGACUGAGACUGAGAAUGGGGUUAAUUCCCUGGGGGUCAACAGAGGGACUAUUUCCAGAAGGUGAGUGAAUGCUGGGUGUCAAAACAAAACCAGAUCGGCUACAUCCCUGUCUCUCACUGCCCCAGUUCUGCCUGAUUGUCCAGAGUUAUGCCACUGACUAAUGCUUGGGAGUUGCAGGAAAUGCUGAUUCUGCACAGACCCUGGGACAGGCCAGAAGUGGGAUGGGGCCCAGGACAGGAACUUGAGGUGGCAGCAAUCAGUCAGAGGCCCCAACAUCCAUGUGGACAGACCAUCCCAUAAUCUGUCCUCUCACUGUCUACCCCUUCUCAUCCUAGAGCCCUUUACCUGCAUUCCAGUCUAGUUGUGGCCGUAGCCCAGAACUUAUCACCGGGAACACUUCUGCCACCUGAAAAAGCAGUCUGACAUUCCACCCGGUUUUAUUCUUUCAGUUUAUGCCCUCAGUAUGCCAAUUCUUCAACCUAUUCAGCAGGAACUACAAGCCACUUUAUACGUCUCCCUGGGCAUCUGACAGCGUUUUUCUUCAUUUCUUCCCUCUCCAAGGAAAACUUCGUGGUCCACCACUUAAUCCCAAACCUAAAGAGCUCUACUCUCAACAGCCUUCCCCACUUGCCUUUCAUCUGUCACCCUUGCCAAAGUCAGUUCUGUCCUUUUUAGACCUGUUUUCCGAUAACGGGUUGACCCCUCUUGGAUAAAAUCGCACAAGAAAGUAACUGACGCCACCAUAAAUGUUCCAUACCAAUGGGCAGCUCCAACACUGCCUGAAGACAAUCCAUUCUUUCCCUCGGUGUUUACUGUGCACUGGGCUUCCUUCUAAGCAUUGGGGGCACACAGGGAAGGAAACAAAGCUCCCUGUCUUCGGGGAGCUUCUAGGACGGUUCCUCAGUCAAUUCUCUUGCCUAAGCGCUCAAAACGGUUUCACUCGCCUACAAUUUCUCCACAAUCCCCACUCGUCCAGCAUGUGUGCUGGAUCACCACAGGGAAAUGAGAAGUCACCGGAUCUUUUCAUCGCUAGCAGAUAUCAAAGAGUAAGGAAACCAAAACGUGAAUCCCCAUCCCUUCUUUCCUCUUUCCUUCCUAUUAUACUGUGAAGGGUUCCCCGGGGAUCUGUCCCCGCUUCCCAAUUUACAACACUUUUCCCACUGUGCUGGAAUAUUUGGCUUAGUCAUCUGCUUUUCCAGAGGACCGAACCAUGCGUACCUCACCACAGUCUGGCUGGCAGACGCAACGCAGCUCAAAAACCUCUGGUGGCAAGUAGGAGCAAAGAGAGGCUUUUCCCAGGGGAGGUCGGUCUGGCCUUGGGCCACGUGCAGAGGCCAGUCACACCCCGGGGCGGCUCCGCCCCCAAAGCGAGCUGCACCCAGAGCCGGGCCACUUCCUGUUAAGGACACGCCCAGGGGCGUGGCGACGUCCAGGGGAGCCACGCAGCGGGCCGAGUAGGGCCCAGGGAGUCACAAGCAGGGGCGGCUCUGUGCCCAAAGGGAGCGGCACCAAGGGCGGGGCCACGUCCUGUUGGGGACACGCACAGAGGCGUGGCGACGUUCAGGGCUAGCCAUAUCAGGGGCGAACGGUCCCGGGAGCCACCCCCAGGGGCGGCCCCCAGAGGUUGUGGUGUUUGCCCUGGCGAUGGCGGCCAUGUUGGGCAGUCUAACGGUUAGUCCUCUCACCUCAGACUUCUGGAAUCUGUGUCCAUCACUUCUGGAAGACGAGAGUUUUAUUUGCCUCAAAGAUAGAUUUUGACGAAGGUUUCUGGAUGCUGGAAUGACCUUGUCUCCUGCGCUGACAGAGGGAUCCUUCCCAAAGUCUGCCAUUUCCAUCCUGGCGGUUGCUCCUUCAGGCCGCGCAACGCCUGACUCCCUCCCACAGGAGGCUGCUGCCUGGGAAAACGUGCUGACGCCCGGGGGUGGGGCUGCGCCUGGGCCGCGGGGCCCCUGUUGCCGAGGUCACUGGACGGCGCUUGCGCGGGUGAACCUAGUGUGGAAUAUAGCGGCGAUGUUGGCUGAUGUUAAGACGUCACUUUACACCAGCUGCCUGGUCUUGCCCAAGAAGCCUUUCUCAGACGUCAUCUCUAGGUGCAGAGAUAAAAUAUCUCAUAGGGGUGGUCCUGAGGCCUGGAAUGAUCAAAUGAGGUUUUGAGUAGUGUUAAGGGCCGAUGUUACUGCACGGGUUGGGGGUGCAGAUGGUGACCACGUGGGCCUUGCAGCCCCUAGACGCCAGUGCCUUGGAAAUGCCUGCACCAGUCAGGAGAGUGAGGCUUCAAGAUGCAAGUUCAUACACUAAAUUAGGAAUCCUCAUUUCUGAUUCCCUGCGAAACCGGUAACUGGUAGGAUGCUCACAGUCUGCUAGUUGUUUUCAAAGGAGCCACAAGAGCUUUAAUUGCUCUUUGUAUCUAGCUGUGAGUCUAGUAGGAAUGGUUGGGGGGCGGGGGUGGAUCCCAGGUAUAAGCCAAUUGAGGCCUUCUGGACGGAGAGGAAGAGGCAGUACCAUUUGUCCCACCUUCCAGGAUUCCGGAUAGCAGGAGAGAUAAAGCUGUCCAUGGAUCGCCUUUGGAGAGGAUUUGCAAAGGCCAAUGUGGUGCUGGUGACUACAGCAUGAAGAGUUCCAGAAUCUCCCUAUGUUCCUGGCUUAAAAGGAACUUGGGAUCCCAGGAGUUGAGGAAAUCCAGAGAUGUUAAGAUUUUUACAGACCUAUCACCUUUGAGAACAGUGUUCAUGAGAUGGAGACACUGACUGAAAACUACACUUUGAAUAUUUUGGGAGAGAGUGGAACAGUUAGCAAUUUGAUUGUGCUUGGUAUCAAGUUUCUUAUGAAAAUCUCCCACCCCCA